rnacentral:tRNA from 1 species
AAAGAUGGCUCAGUGGUUGUGAGCACUUGCUGGCUGUCCUUCCAGAGGAUCUGGGUUCAAUUCCCAGCAUCUUCG